rnacentral:lncRNA from 1 species
GCAGUUUAUGCAACCAUGCAACCAACUAGUAGUUCAAUCGAUACUACUUUUAUUCCUGUUAUUCACAGUUCAACCAAUUGACUUCUAAGUUUUCCUCUAUCUUAGAUUCUUGUCAAUUACAAUUCUGCUCAUAGGGUUUAACCUGCUUUUAUAAGCUAUCCACUCGACUCAGUCUUGAGUCAAUCACACGCGGAAUACCGCACAAAGUCGGGCUCAAGGUGAAGGAUGUCUCACAUGCACCUCAGCCCUAAAUCCACUCAACUGGGAUGCAACUAAAACUUAUACCAUGCAUCAAAUAGUAAUGGUUUACUAUCAUGCUAACGAAUUCGAUCCAUGUUUAAAUAAUAAUGUUCAAAGACAUUGUUCACUGUUCUUUUACCCAAUCUGUAGCGAAGCCCUAGGGUUCGCCAAUAACUCACCUUUCAAUCCCAAAGUGGGGAGGGAGCUCCAAGUGCACCCAAGCCCGGGACCGUCUGCGGACCUCCAUGUGGUCCGGACCUCCAAGUGGUCCUAGUCGCACGACACUCCGGAGUACUCGACGACAAUCCCCUCCAUGUGGGAUUGGAUGGCUAUACCACCCUAAACGCAGACUGUGAGCUAGAUCUAUCCUCUCCAAGUGAGGAUACACUGUAACUAGGGUCAACACCCAAUCCAAUCCUCUCCAAGUGAGUAGGCUCUACAACUAGAGUCAAUAAUCCAAUCGAAUCCUCUCCAAGUGAGAAUGCUCUACAACUGGAGUCAACAACCCAAUCAAAUCCUCUCCAAGUGAGGAUGCUCUACAACUAGAGUCAAUAUCUCAAUAACUCAUCGACAACCUCUCCAUGUGAGGGUACUUAGGUUUACUAAGUUCUUUAUCCACAAGGCAUUUUCUAAGGGAUUCACCUAUCCCUAGGUUCUCAAACCUCUAGUGUCAAAUACACUACAUUAAUGCCACUCGAUAUGUUCUUGUUUUCCAAAGUCAAUUUCUCUAAUCGACCAAGUUCAACAUGCAUAAUUCAUCUACUAUGUUCCAUAAUAUGGCAACAUGCAUAAUUCUUCUAUCAUAUUCAAUAUAUGUCAUCAUGUAUGUGUUUCUAUUUAACAUAAUCCACAUAUCAUCUCAUUGGUAGGUAAUAUCAACUACAUAAUAUGUUUCAAGCAUUCAUAUUAUCAUGUAAGCCUACCAAUACAACUAUAUGCAUCAAUGUGAAUUCGUAUGUUUCUUAGACAUAAAGGGCGACCUAGUCGCUUCGGUAAGCACAACCCACCUCAAAUCGCUUUCCGAUUGCUUGUCGACACUUGGAAUCGGCCUCCCGCGGCGCCCGUAACCCGGUUUGGCCCGAUCUCGCGCGCGACCACCCGAACGGCCUCCAAUUCACGAUCUGAAAAUUAAAGGUCUUCGGUUAUGUGCCACGGUGCUUCAAAUCCGUUUCAUGGGUUUACGAUGUCGCCUCGGCCCUCCAGGCGGAAACGAAGCCUAAACGUCCGUUUCUUUAAUAACUUCGCACCGGCUCGACGAAUCGCCGAACCGUCUUCGCCAACGCGUUCGUUUACCUAGCAAUUAGGUUUACGGAGGGUCAAAUUAGAUCAAACCCUUAUAUUUUACAAAACCCCAUUCGGAGCCCUAAUAUGCAAUUAACCUUAAAAUAAUCCAAAUUAAAUGGAUCAACAUGCUAACAAAGCUCAUUAGAGGCUAUUAGAACACUUAAAGCUAAGGAUUAAGCCAAAUUUCAAAAGCUUACCACAAUGUGAACGCCGCGACGAAAAUAUGCCGCUCCAACGGGCGCACGAAAGCUCGAUCCGUCGCCUCCAACGCAUUCGCAAGCAUCUUCUCCACCAACCCUCCAAUUUUUAGAGAGAGAUUUAGAGAGAUGAGAGAGAUCUCUAGAGAGAGAAGGGAGGGUUUCCCUCCCCCUCCAUGCGUGUGUGUGUGUGUGUGUGUGUGGUGUGUGUGCGGCUGAAGGAGAAGAAGAGGAGUCAACACUCCACUUUAGUCAACACCACAACACUAUUCACUCCCGGGCAGUUCGAAAUCUGAUAUCUUUCGCCGGAACUCCCUGAACAUCCGUUUGAGCUCAAAGUUCACAGUUAUGUUCGGUUUUAUGUACUGAGUAAGAAUAUAUUUUAAGUUUUCAGUUUCGACCCCGUUUGGUCACUGAAAACUAUAUCGAACUGUAAUUUUUAUCAGAUAGCUGUCGGAUUUUAUUUCUCACUCUACGGGUGUCAAAAAAAUAUGAAACUUUAAAUCUAGUCUCAUAAAAAUAUUUCUGACUUAUCCUCCAAUUUUCAUAAUUUUCUGAGACUGUGCAUUUUCUGCCUAUUUAUCUGUCCCGUUUCCAACAGAAAAUUCUAGAUCUUCUAUUUUCAUUUCGAUUUCAGCACAAGUCACUUCUAACUUAUGUUUUACUCCUCUAAAUCCAAUAAAAAUAGUAUCUCACACUAUUUUUAUUUAUUUUUAUUUUUAUAUUUAAAAUUCGGUAUAUUACAUUCCACCGCAACCUCACCGGAAUCAUUCAAAUGGCUUUCAAGCCAAAUGUACACCGUAACUUCCUAAUUUAGAAGUCCGGUACCUUACAUCCUCCCCUCCUUAACAGAGUUUCGUCCUCGAAACUAUCUCACUUCAAUUCCAAUUCAUACCCCAACUCAACUUAUCAAAUAGUUGGGAGUUCCAAUGCACUUUUGCAUCUCGGAGUGGCCUUUCACUCAUCAGAACUAUCCAAAGGUUCACUAUGGAGGAUGUGAGGCCAAUCUCACUCACAUAUGCCAUGUGUAAACCCAAAAGUGCAUUACCACCAUGCAAAGAACUACUCUUGCAUUAUACACCCAAUCGAAAAAUUUCACUCCGAUUCGAUCACCUACAUUGCUUAGAAGCAAUAUCGUUGGUGACUCGACCAAUCGCGAGUGGUUCAUCACAACCGGAUCCUUGCUCUAUCACGAGAUGGCCCACUCCGGCACAUCUCCAAUCUCAAUCCACAAAAGAGCAUUGUCCUCAAGCUCCAAUUCCUACGUGGCUAUCCACAUCUCAAUGUCACACAAGAGCACUUCGCCCUUGAUAUCAUAAGCCACGACCAACUCUGCUUUGCUCUUGCGACAAAUCCAUACGAACCCUCCGUUCGUGAAUCCAAGCCAAACUCACUAAUAGAGUUAUCGGCUAAACCGAUUACGUCGGUUUCCAUCGGUGGACCAACGGUCACCCGUCCUACGUAGGUCUACCGCCUAAACCUCUUACAACUACGCAUAGCGUCCCUCGCUCACCAGCGUAGACCCAAUCAUAAUCGGGCGAGAUUCUCAUUGGAGAAUUCGCACACACUCCAACCAGGAGCAACCGUGACCCCAAACCACCUCAAAUCCUCGGGUUGGGUCACUACACACUCGGUGUAUCCUCGAUCUCAUGAUCCAACACGUGGCAUUCCACGCUCCCGGGUCUAAGCUCGGACUUCCGUCCUGACCGAAUCUCUGCCCUACCCGUAGGUACCAGGCCGCUGUCUCUCACAGCUGAUUGCGCCUGCCCAAAGGGCCCAGGCUCCACAGUCCACAAAUGGUCCAGGCAUGGGUUGUCCCCAAGCACUACCAGCCGUCGUCGUACCACACGACAUACUCUAUCGAGCUAUAAAUACACUAUCGGCUCCUAAGCACCUAGUGCGAGCCACCAGCCCUACGAGUGAUCCAUGGCCCGCUUCACACUUAGCAAUGCUGAGUGCUACUGCCAACUCACUCUCCCGGCUGAAUCGAAACCGCACUCUACGAGUACCCACACUCGAGCACUCUAUAUGCCUCUAUAGCGUUCUACACGAAGUCCAGCAUUAGGCAAUCUUGCCUAUGCACACCAGUCGCACGAGCGCAACCACCUACCUCACCUUGAGGUACUAUUAGGCCCACGUGCUCAAACUUGGCCACUAAUCGACCGUUCUCUCAACAGUGAUGCUACUUUCACUGUUCGAUAUAUCGGAAUGACAUCCGAAAUUUUCGAACUACUUGGGUGUUCUCAUAAGCAUCAUGGCUCAACUCUCGCAAUUUACUACUCAUAUUGCUCUGAGAGUCGUUUCGCCACUUCUAUCUCUACCGCGAGUCUCACUUCUCGCCAUAGAUUACCUCUAGCACUUCGCUAGUGCCAUCUGGCUCUAUACCUGUACUGGCAGGUACUACGCCCUCAGAUAACACAAAACUCCAUUUCUAGAGCAAUCAAACCUAUCUCUAGAAAUCCACCAUGAGAGAGAGCUUAGAAGCUUACCUCUCCAAGAAGCUCCAACCAAGGAGAAGAUGAAGAAGAUAAGGAAGACCUCCUUCUCCUUCUCUUUCUUUCCUUUCCUUCCUUCUUCCUCUUCUUGUCUUCUAGAGAGAGAAAGAGAGAUAUGAGAGGGUGUGUGGGUGAGAAAUGAGAUAAAAGAGCUCUCAUACUCCUCACAUAGCCUCACGUGUUGCAUAAAUGCAAAUAAGCCCCUCGACUUUCAUCCUUGUGCACAGCCCUCACUCGGCAUUUUGCGCCCAGAGGGACCGGUCCCUCGUCGGGGAGACCGGUCCCCGAGAGCCCUCUCCGCGGCCUGGGGACCUUUCGCGUACGGGAACCGGUCCCCACCCGAGAGACCGGUCCCUGGGAGACCGGUCCUUCCUGAGAGACCGGUCCCCGAGAGCCGAAUUUUCAGGACUUAGCCUUUCUUUGCCCUUCUCUCGCUGGUGUCGCAUACGGGGACCGGUCCCCUCAACCAGGGACCGGUUGCAUCAACCUCCCCCGCAACCAUCAGCUACGGGGACCGGUCCUCCCUUCCAGGGACCGGUCCCCGAGAGCAAAAUCUGCUAAGUCCAGAUUCUUGCAUAUUUGCUCUCGUGGACACGUUUCCAAUGCACUUUUUGUGUUUUGGACAUCUUUAGCUUUUCCGAAGGAUACUCACUCGACAAAGAGUCGAUCCUGAACGAAGCACAACUCUUGAAUUUCGAGAAUUCACUUCCUUACAUGCACAACCUCGACCACGUCUGGCUAAGGUCUCCGCUGAGGCAUUACCCUACCACUCACACGAGAGUGGCCAAUCACUCGCGAAGUCCCAAGUCUCCGCUCGUUUCGGAUUGCUUAGGGACGCCACUCGUCCCAUCCCACGCCGAUCUAGAUUAAGAUCGCCUACGCGGUGCUAUCGCUUCCUAAGACACGACAACUCGGUCGAUUCUCGACCCUCAAUGUCUAGCGCGAAACAACUGACACCGACUCGAAUCGGGCGAAAGUCAUGCAAGGGUGUCUAUUCUCAUCACUCGGUUUCAUGUUGUGUAUACCCAACAUGAACACCCUCGGUUGAAAAUAAACCACACCUCGAGUCUACCUCUAACAUCCGUUUUAGAGGUUUACUAACCUGACCCAAUUGAUCAAUCUUUCGCCAUAAGUCACAAGUCCUCGUAUCUCACGAGCCUUAUUCUCCUAUGGUUUACUGUCCUAGGGUCUCCUAGGUCCAUCUAAACAAUUGCCCAUUCUCUACUUUCUGCUCUGAUACCACUAUUAUCUGUCACGACCCGCGACCACCUGCCUAUUUGGCCGGGUCGCGGCGCCGCCGACAGACCGCCGAACGGACAGAGUCUCCCCUGUACGUCCUAGGCGUCGCAAUCAAUUCCAAUACAAGAAGUUCCAACCAGGAACAGUAUUCAAGCAAGAUUGCAUAAGAAAGGUAUCAAACAACAUAACACAUCCUAUGUUAUUACAAGCAUUCCUAUUAGAUUCAUUUUUACAUCACAUUUGCAUUAUUACAUUACAUUUUCUUCCAAAUACAAUCAAUGAUCGCAAUAUUAUUACAAGUUUGCUCUUUUUCUUUUCCCUCUACCCCUAGGCUAUGCCGACUCGGGGUACCUCUAUCUCUGGUCUCUCGGGUAGGGCGCUAUCUAUGGAGCUACGCCCUCGCCUCGCGCCGCCGCGCCGCUCACGUGUGAACCUGUAACACCCCAAAACAACGUGGGGUGAGAACCAACUCCAUGGUUCCCAGUGGGUACGGCCACCCAAGGGAAAAGCUCGACCAAUAGGUCUAAGGAGGCCCUGCAACAUGUUAGUCCAACAGAUAUCCAACAGAUAUAUAUAUUCAAGUAUUGAAAUACAUGUUGUGCCUCACAAAAUGCAAUAUGAAAUUCAUGCAGUUUAUGCAACCAUGCAACCAACUAGUAGUUCAAUCGAUACUACUUUCAUUCCUGUUAUUCACAGUUCAACCAAUUGACUUCUAAGUUUUCCUCAAUCUUAGAUUCUUGUCAAUUACAAUUCUGCUCAUAGGGUUUAACCUGCUUUUAUAAGCUAUCCACUCGACUCGGUCUUGAGUCAAUCACACGCGGAAUACCGCACAAAGUAGGGCUCAAGGGGAAGGAUGUCUCACAUGCACCUCAGCCCUAAAUCCACUCAACUGGGAUGCAACUAAAACUCAUACCAUGCAUCAAAUAGUAAAGGUUUACUAUCAUGCUAACAAAUUCGAUCCAUG